CUGCGGGGGCUUCCGGGCUGGAGGCGGCUGCUGCACGUCCCCGCCCCGGGCUCUCCCGGCUGCAGGUUUGCCCUCAGGGUGGCUGAGAAAAGACAAUGGGAGUUCAAGGACUUUGGAAACUGCUUGAAUGUGCUGGGAGACCCAUAAACCCAGAAACGCUAGAAGGGAAAAUUCUUGCUGUUGAUAUCAAGUAUAUGGUUGAACCAAGCAAUAAAGGGAGGCAAGAGAUCGUGGAGGUAAUUUCAGUACGGAAAUGCUCACCUCCUCACUCUGUUCCAUCGUCUCUGGCAAGUUGCUGUUUUUUCCGAAUUCGGCCUGUCUUUGUUUUUGAUGGGGAGGCACCACU